rnacentral:rRNA from 1 species
UACGGAGGGUGGCAAGCGUUGUUCGGAAUUACUGGGCGUAAAGGGCUCGUAGGCGGCCAACUAAGUCAGACGUGAAAUCCCCUCGGCUUAACCGGGGAACUGCGUCUGAUACUGGAUGGCUUGAGAUUGGGAGAGGGAUGCGGAAUUCCAGGUGUAGCGGUGAAAUGCGUAGAUAUCUGGAGGAACACCGGUGGCGAAGGCGGCAUCCUGGACCCAACACUGACGCUGAGGGAGCGAAAAGCUAGGGGAGCAACGGGG